GUGGGGAAUAUUGGACAAUGGGCGAAAGCCUGAUCCAGCCAUGCCGCGUGUGUGAAGAAGGUCUUCGGAUUGUAAAGCACUUUAAGUUGGGAGGAAGGGCAGUAAGUUAAUACCUUGCUGUUUUGACGUUACCGACAGAAUAAGCACCGGCUAACUUCGUGCCAGCAGCCGCGGUAAUACGAAGGGUGCAAGCGUUAAUCGGAAUUACUGGGCGUAAAGCGCGCGUAGGUGGUUCGUUAAGUUGGAUGUGAAAGCCCCGGGAUCAACCUGGGAACUGCAUCCAAAACUGGCGAGCUAGAGUACGGUAGAGGGUGGUGGAAUUUCCUGUGUAGCGGUGAAAUGCGUAGAUAUAGGAAGGAACACCAGUGGCGAAGGCGACCACCUGGACUGAUACUGACACUGAGGUGCGAAAGCGUGGGGAGCAAACAGGAUUAGAAACCCCUGUAGUCC
rnacentral:rRNA from 1 species